rnacentral:rRNA from 1 species
GGCCCACCAAGCUCGAUGGAUAGGGGUUCUGAGAGGAAGGUCCCCCACAUUGGAACUGAGACACGGUCCAAACUCCUACGGGAGGCAGCAUG